rnacentral:rRNA from 1 species
AGAGUUUGAUCCUGGCUCAGAACGAACGCUGGCGGCAGGCUUAACACAUGCAAGUCGAGCGCCCCGCAAGGGGAGCGGCAGACGGGUGAGUAACGCGUGGGAACGUACCAUUUGCUACGGAAUAACUCAGGGAAACUUGUGCUAAUACCGUAUGUGCCCGAAAGGGGAAAGAUUUAUCGGCAAAUGAUCGGCCCGCGUUGGAUUAGCUAGUUGGUGGGGUAAAGGCCUACCAAGGCGACGAUCCAUAGCUGGUCUGAGAGGAUGAUCAGCCACACUGGGACUGAGACACGGCCCAGACUCCUACGGGAGGCAGCAGUGGGGAAUAUUGGACAAUGGGCGCAAGCCUGAUCCAGCCAUGGCCGCGUGAGUGAUGAAGGCCCUAGGGUUGUAAAGCUCUUUCACCGGUGAAGAUAAUGACGGUAACCGGAGAAGAAGCCCCGGCUAACUUCGUGCCAGCAGCCGCGGUAAUACGAAGGGGGCUAGCGUUGUUCGGAUUUACUGGGCGUAAAGCGCACGUAGGCGGGCUAAUAAGUCAGGGGUGAAAUCCCGGGGCUCAACCCCGGAACUGCCUUUGAUACUGUUAGUCUUGAGUAUGGUAGAGGUGAGUGGAAUUCCGAGUGUAGAGGUGAAAUUCGUAGAUAUUCGGAGGAACACCAGUGGCGAAGGCGGCUCACUGGACCAUUACUGACGCUG